UGUCUUGUAAAUGGAAUGAUGGGAAUUUAAACCUCUUCCAGAGUAUCAAUUGGAGGGCAAGUCUGGUGCCAGCAGCCGCGGUAAUUCCAGCUCCAAUAGCGUAUAUUAAAAUUGUUGCAGUUAAAAAGCUCGUAGUUGAAUUUCUGCUGCAUCGUCGCAUCUCUUGCUGAGUGCUUCGUUUCGGCUUAUUUCGGAUUGAUUUUUUCUUUCCGGAUGAUUACUUUGAGAAAAUUAGAGUGCUCAAAGCAGGCUUUUGCCUUGAAUAGUUUAGCAUGGAAUAAUAAAGUAGGACUUUGGUUCUAUUUUGUUGGUUUUAGGUACCAAAGUAAUGGUUAAUAGGAACAGUUGGGGGCAUUCGUAUUUAACUGUCAGAGGUGAAAUUCUUAGAUUUGUUAAAGACGAACUACUGCGAAAGCAUUUGCCAAGGAUGUUUUCAUUAAUCAAGAACGAAAGUUAGGGGAUCGAAGACGAUCAGAUACCGUCGUAGUCCUACCCAUAAACUAA
rnacentral:rRNA from 1 species